rnacentral:rRNA from 1 species
CUACGGGCGGCACCAGUGGGGAAUCUUAGACAAUGGGCGCAAGCCUGAUCUAGCCAUGCCGCGUGAGUGAUGAAGGCCUUAGGGUCGUAAAGCUCUUUCGCCUGUGAUGAUAAUGACAGUAGCAGGUAAAGAAACCCCGGCUAACUCCGUGCCAGCAGCCGCGGUAAUACGGAGGGGGUUAGCGUUGUUCGGAAUUACUGGGCGUAAAGCGCACGUAGGCGGAUCAGAAAGUUAGGGGUGAAAUCCCGGGGCUCAACCUCGGAACUGCCUCUAAAACUCCUGGUCUAGAGUUCGAGAGAGGUGAGGGGAAUUCCAAGUGUAGAGGUGAAAUUCGUAGAUAUUUGGAGGAACACCAGUGGCGAAGGCGGCUCACUGGCUCGAUACUGGCGCUGAGGUGCGAAAGUGUGGGGAGCAAACAGGAUUAGAUACCCGGGUAGUC